UACAGAGGGUGCGAGCGUUGUCCGGAAUCACUGGGCGUAAGGGCGCGUAGGCGGUCUGGUAAGCGUGUGGUGAAAGCUCGGGGCUCAACCCCGAGUCGGCCGUGCGAACUGCUGGGCUUGAGCACUGUAGAGGCAGGCGGAAUUCCGGGUGUAGCGGUGGAAUGCGUAGAGAUCCGGGAAGAACACCGGUGGCGAAGGCGGCCGUGCUGGGCAGUGGCUGACAC
rnacentral:rRNA from 1 species